UGUUGGAGUUGUAGCAUCAGGAUCAAGAUUGCCAGCUGGGUCUAUCCAACAUCUUUACCUUAGCUGGCUGUUACUUUAGGAAAAUUAUUAGGUUAGGAGCGGGAGAGAGGAGGGAGAUGGACACGUCCCAAACACGACAGGCACCGGAGGAAUACCAGUUUGUGCACAGAAGGGCUGGACAUGUCAUGGUGGCCCACAAUAAGAGACUCUAUGUUUGGGGAGGCUAUAUGGAGCUGCCCCACUCGCGACCUUACACCUUGAUGACCAACAGCAAGUCAUCCUACCACAGUGCCAUUGACGUGUGGGUGUUUGAUCCGCUCCUCAGCACAUGGACGAGGAAGAUGAGCCGCGGGGACAUUCCACAGCAGCUCUCCGGCUCCUGUGCGGCCGUCCACGAAGAUCACAUGUACAUGUUUGGAGGCUGGGCAAACAUUGCAUCUGAUAAUAUGGAAAAUAAUCUCAAUUCCCUUUGGCGUCUUCAUCUCCCCACACUGACUUGGAAGUUGCUCCGGCCUGAGGGGAUGCCUCCCUUCCCCUGUGACAAAGCUGCCUGCUGGGUCCACAAUAAUAGGUUUUUUGUGUUUGGUGGCUUUGGUCCGGCCAUAAACUCAAGUCGGGUGGAAGAAGUCAUCGUCAACUUUGUAAGGGACGAUGUUUACUACAGUGGCUGGAUUGAUCAGCUGGUCUACUAUGACAUAGACAAUAACGUAUGGAUGUGGCCCAGAACGAAGGGGGUGAAGCCGACCCCCCGAGCAGCACAUGCAGCAGACGUGUGUGGGGACAAGGUGUACAUAUUUGGUGGUAGAUUUAAGAAUGCAAGAAUGAAUGAACUGCACUGCUUAGAUCUUAGGAACUGGACGUGGAGUGGAAACUUGAUGGACGACACCCUGCAAGAGGUCCCCGAUGGCCGGUCUUGGCACACGUUCAAGUUUGUAUCAGAGAAUAAGGCUGUGGUGUAUGGAGGAUUCAACUCUUCAGAACAAGUUCUAAACGACAUUUGGCUGCUGGACAUCAGAAGCAGGAAGUGGUGCAGGACCCCCAAACCACGUGCCAGCUCUCGGCUCUGGCACACUGCAGCCGUCGCCCAUCCGGGUGAAAUAACGUUUUAUGGGGGAAUUCAGAACAAUUUGCUGGAUCACACGAGGCCAAAGGACCAUGCUGAAGAAAUGCUAGUGCUGAGAUUUAGUCCUCCUUGCUUAAAGAGGUAAAUAUAAGCAUGAACUUCAGAUGACUUCAUGAGUACAUCAGUAAGCUGCAUUCAACCUAUUUGAAAUGGCUGACCAUUGAGGCAAUCUGUGAAACUGGUGAGGAACUGCAAUCCCAGUGGAAAGUGCUACCCCAGACACUACAACACAUCCUGGCUGUGCGUCUCUCGCCCGACAACAUCAGUUAGCACACGAUGCCAGUGGAGGACGGCAAUACCAGCGCUCUUAUCACUCUGCAGAUUGGCUCAAAACCCACAGAGGUACAGAAGUGCUUGUCACCGCCCCCAGCUGUACCCCACUUUCCCGACGUCUAUUACUGCAUUCCUGUUCUGAUUAUUGUCAUCAUUACACUAAACCUGUUGAUUGUUAUUCUUUCUCAACUGGGAUGUUUCUAAUUUUUGGCUCUAGCUUGUUUGGUGCAUUGUCUUUCUUCCGUGAGAGUAAUUGUUUGAUAAUAUUGAACUUUGAGUGCCUUCAGAAGUUUCCCAACCUGAGUACGUACGUAUACAUAGUCACGUAGCCAAAGCAUAAGUUCUGACCUGCUGUAAUGCACCAAUAAUGAAUAUUAUAGUAUACACUUUUAAUUUAUUAUUUUCUUAAAACAGACAUGCAGAUUAGCUAAUGGACAAUAAGUCACAUGGGCAAGAUUUUGUUAUCCUGAGUCAGUGUAUACUCAGUACCACAGAGGUUUCAUGUGAAGCAAAAAUACAAGACAAUUAUGAGAUUAAAGCGAAGAAGUUGUCCACAGCAACUGUGGCUGUCAGUCCCGUCACUGUACGGAUGUUACUCAAUCCAUGCUUGGUAGUUAGACCAAAACUGUUGUAAUGAACUCAAGAAGUGGUUUUCUAAAUUUUAAAUGUUUGGUAGCUUGGAGUAGAACUGUGGUAACUUAAUGAAAACUGGUAAUCUAAAUUUUAUCAGGUUGUAAAAUGUUGUUUGCACAUAAAAAUGCUAUUUGAUUCAAGGGCAUGUUCAACACUGUAAUUUGCAAUUAAUUCAUGUGAUGUAACUCUGAGAUCGAAAUACUGGAUAGAUUUUAGAGAACACUGUUUUUAUGUGCAACUGCAUUACAGGUCACUUUAUAACAAGUGUACUACUAUAUUGCUUAAGUUUCUGCUUCAACAAACAUCAGCUAGAGAUUAUUUUCAUUUUCUCUUUGAUUUACUAUACACAGGGAUCACCAAACCAUGGCCUACAGGCCGGACCAGGGCCACAACGUCAGUUCAUCAGGUUUGGCGAUGGUUCUUGACUUUGCUUGAUAAGAUUUAUGGAGAGUCCUGUUUUGCUUUUACAGGCCUCAAAGUGAAAUACAUGUUUUCUUAUUGAAAAAAGAUGAAGCUGAUCCACAGCUGUCACAUCCCAAAUACUCUUGAACUAGACUUGAAACUUCAUGGAAAGCAUAACCUUGUCCAUGAUAUCUACAGAAUCAUCAAAGGAUUUCAUAGAAAGCUGUCUCUGUUUGAAGCACAACUGGGAGGAGAAAACUUCUCUCAUUUUCAUGCUUUCAAAGGGUUUUGUGCUACAAUCACUCAAUAUAUUAAUCUUGAUUUUCUAAAAAGAUUAUUCGUGACUUGAAGCAUUUUUGAAGAGAUUUUGAGAUCUCGACAGAAUUGAGUGACAUUAGUAUGUUCCAGAAUCAGUUUGAUCAUAACCUUGAUGAUGUGCCACUUGAACUACAAUUGGAAUCUAUUUCUACAAGCAAAUGACUUGUUGAAAGAGAAGUACAGAGAAGAAAAACUUGUUGAAUUUUACUGCUGCUUUCCUUAUGUUGAGUUUCCAUAAACGAAGAAAUUUACAGUUGGUAUGGCAUCAGUGUUUGGAACAACUGAAGUCUGUGAGCAAACACUUAAAAAAAAUUAAGUACAUGUGAAGUCAACAAGAUUGACUGAUGAAUAUUUGAAGGCAACUCUCUUGAUUGAAUGCAGCAUUGCCAAACCAAACAUUAAUGACAUCCGGAAAGCUAAACAUCAGUCUCACAGAUCUCAUUAACCUUUUUUGCUGAUUAGUUUGUGAGAUUCAGAUAUUGCACACCAGGUAUGAUGUAACCAUCUUUUUGCUGACGUUGCCUUCUUUUUCUUUGUUUUUUGUACAUUACAUGCCUAUGAUUAACUUGGAAUGCUAAGCUUAAUAUUUUGUCUUUUUUCCCCCAGAGCUUUCUUCCUGGCUUGCAAGUAUUGAACAGAAUGAUGAUGCAGUCUGCACUCGUCAUUCUUUCAGUUAUUGGGCCCCCCAUUAAAAAAGUUUGGUGAUUCCUGAUUUAGUAAAAUUUACAAAAUUUAGAAGAAAAAUAGUGGAAUAUUCCUGUGAUGCAAAGUGGUUUGCUGACUCUGUGACAGACAGAAAUAGACAUCUUGCCAGCUCAUUGGUGGAACAAAUCUGGCUUUACUCUUCUUGAUUUGGUGGAAAAUUCCACUAUUUUAGAGAAAGUGAAAAGGCCUUGAACUGGUAGUUGAAUAGCGUGCAGUGUUGAAUACUGGUUUUACUUUGCUUUCUUACCAUGCAGCAACUCUUUCUAUGCAUGAAAGGUGGCACCUGUGGAGAAACAAAGAUUUUUUUUUCCUGCAGCCUGUGCAUUCAAGAUGGAAAGUUAACACAUGUGGUUGUCAUGCAGUUAACUUUUACAUGCAAGACAGCAUCCAAGAGAAAAAAUAGAAAGAAAUCAGAACAGGAAUUCAAUCCAUAUAACUAGUUUUUAAACAAAAAAAAUACAAUUUACUCGAACACAAA
rnacentral:misc_RNA from 1 species